rnacentral:rRNA from 1 species
AUUGAACGCUGGCGGCAGGCUUAACACAUGCAAGUCGAGCGGGGUGAUGGUGCUUGCACUAUCACUUAGCGGCGGACGGGUGAGUAAUGCUUAGGAAUCUGCCUAUUAGUGGGGGACAACAUCUCGAAAGGGAUGCUAAUACCGCAUACGUCCUACGGGAGAAAGCAGGGGAUCACUUGUGACCUUGCGCUAAUGGAUGAGCCUAAGUCGGAUUAGCUAAUUGGUGGGGUAAAGGCCUACCAAGGCGACGAUCUGUAGCGGGUCUGAGAGGAUGAUCCGCCACACUGGGACUGAGACACGGCCCAGACUCCUACGGGAGGCAGCAGUGGGGAAUAUUGGACAAUGGGGGGAACCCUGAUCUAGCCAUGCCGCGUGUGUGAAGAAGGCCUUAUGGUUGUAAAGCACUUUAAGCGAGGAGGAGGCUCUUUUGGUUAAUACCCAAGAUGAGUGGACGUUACUCGCAGAAUAAGCACCGGCUAACUCUGUGCCAGCCGCCGCCGUAA